AUGGGCACAUUCACGUCAGAGGGGGAGGGGCAGGGAGUGGCACAAGAGCCUCAAAGCUGGGAGCCACCUGGGCGCUCAGUGCCGGCCGAAGAGAGCCUGUCAGGAACGCACUGGCCUGUCUUACAGUUGGGGAAACAGGCUUCGAGGUGGAGCAGCUUCCCUGAGGUUCCUCCCAGGGCAGCCAGGGCUGGGGUCCUCUUCCAGCCCAGGCACCUCUGUGGACACUUGGGCGGCGGGCAGUGUGCUCCGAGCUGCAGUUGGUCCUGGCAGGAAGGUCUCUACCCCUGUCCACCCAACUCGGCCGUGCGGCCAGAGCCAGGCCUGGCCGCCGUAAGUGAGCUGGGGCCCUCCCCAGGGGGACUUCAGAGCGGGCGGGCAGGACCGGGGCCAGCGUCGGGUGUGAAAGCCCUUGCCCGGGCCGCUGGGGUGAGUGCUGGGGGUCAGUUCCUUUCAAGCCUGCGGCCUCGGGGAAUCCACCCCGCCUGCGUCUGUCCACAGUGGAAAACACCACUGGGGAGGGUCCUGCCUCCCCCUGUGAAUGGCCUGACAGGCCCUGGACGUGCCCUGAGGCUCGGGCGAGGGUCCUGCCCUUCCUUGCCCCCCAACCGUGCCCCCAGUGCACUGUGCUUGGCCGCACCUGGACCCUGGGCCCCGAGGGGACUCCUGGGUGUGUGUUCACACCUUGGUGCCCUCGGCUGUGGGGAGCCUUUUUACCUUGUGCUAGACGGGGGUGGAGGCCCAAGGCCUUCUGAUGCCCCAGCGCAUGACUGCCUCCUGGGGGUGCUGGCUGGGGGAAGGGAGCCCGGGCCCACCGGUUCGGCAAGGGUGGGGCUUCCCGGGAGCUCUGGGUGGUCGGCGGGGGACUGCUUCCGGGUGGACACAGAGGGUGUCAGUGAUCGGACGAACAGGGCCGCAGUGUCCUGGGACCGAGGCUGGCCUGGAGUGGGACGGAGCGCCCCCAGAGCGGCCGGGACCCGGGGAGCGGAGACAAGAAACGCCUUUCAUUCAUAA
rnacentral:lncRNA from 1 species